CUCAACUGCUUCUUCCCGCACCGCUUUUUUACAUCACAAAUACCUACGUUACUCUCUCUUCCUCAUACCUAUCUCCAUUUUUCCUGCUAAAAUUCCUCAUAACUCUCACUUUAUUAAUUCCUACAUCUAACCUUCUUUGAGCUAUUCAUUAAUUUGGAAAAUCGAAAAAAAAUAGUUUGCUCACACUGCUACUCUAUAUUUUCCCACACCAUAUAUAUACUAACUUCGACGCCACUGAAGAAUUCUGAAGAAAAUCAUCCUCGCCCACGGCUUCAGGAAAAAAUGGUAUUCACCUCAUAAUAGCCGGUAUCGAUAAACAAGGAUGCCAAAACACAGUCUUUUGAGGUGAGGUUACUUUCACUACCCACAUUUGCAAGGAGAAUAUAUGUAAAUCUUGAAAUAGAUUACAUAACAACUUUGAUUCAAAAGUUUAGUACCAUUUGUUUUGCGGUACAAACUAUCGGCAACUCUAAUGUCAAUAACAUUCCCAUUGAGGAAGAGAUGUUUCUGAACAUGAUGAACAUUACGAGUGUCUGACCGGAAUGCCGAAAAUACAUGUAACUUCGAUAGUGAGAGGCAACUUUACCAAAAUGGACAACUAUUUUGAUUGGUUGUCGUCGGAUAGCAAUAAUGUACCGCCACAAAUUCAAAGCCUUUGCGACAAAGAAUUUAUUUUCAAGCUAAGAUUAAACAAUUUUAAUCUUAAAGAGGGGCUUGAAAAUUAUACGGUAUCAAAGUUGUUGUUUCCAAACGAGAAAUCUGGAAUUGCAAUAUAGAAAAAGGAAAGAAAAAAAGGGAAAAAGCAAAGUGCAGGAUAACAUUGAAAUAGAAGGACUUAUUGAAGGGAAGGAACCUACUAAUGUCUCUUUGGACAACUUUGAAGACUCUGAGGAAGAUCUACAUGUCAAUGAUGGUGUUAACUAUAGGAAGAGAAAAACUUCAUCAAGAAGGAUUAGGAAGGGAAGGAACCUAAUCAUACAUGACGACGAAGUUAGCGAUCAAGACACAAAAAAAGAAGCAAAAAGUAGAGUGUUUAUGUGUUGGUUUUGGAACUUUUAAUGUUGUGUAACGUUAAACAAAAUAAGUGUGUCCCUUUGUGCUUUUCAGUAUGUAGACAGUAGAUGU